rnacentral:rRNA from 1 species
UACGUAGGGUCCGAGCGUUGUCCGGAAUUACUGGGCGUAAAGAGCUCGUAGGUGGUUUGUCGCGUUGUUCGUGAAAACUCACAGCUUAACUGUGGGCGUGCGGGCGAUACGGGCAGCACUUGAGUACUGCAGGGGAGACUGGAAUUCCUGGUGUAGCGGUGGAAUGCGCAGAUAUCAGGAGGAACACCGGUGGCGAAGGCGGGUCUCUGGGCAGUAACUGACGCUGAGGAGCGAAAGCGUGGGGAGCGAACAGG